rnacentral:rRNA from 1 species
GGGUGUGAUCAUACCAGCGUUAAUGCACCGGAUCCCAUUGGAACUCCAUAGUUAAGCAGACUUGGGAUAGAGUAGUACUGGGAUGGGUGACCUCCCGGGAAGUCCAAGUGUUGCACCCU